rnacentral:rRNA from 1 species
UACGUAGGGCGCAAGCGUUGUCCGGAAUUAUUGGGCGUAAAGAGCUCGUAGGCGGCUUGUCGCGUCUGUUGUGAAAGCCCGGGGCUUAACCCCGGGUCUGCAGUGGAUACGGGCAGGCUAGAGGCAGGUAGGGGAGAUUGGAAUUCCUGGUGUAGCGGUGGAAUGCGCAGAUAUCAGGAGGAACACCGAUGGCGAAGGCAGAUCUCUGGGCCGUAACUGACGCUGAGGAGCGAAAGCAUGGGGAGCGAACAGG